GACGAGGGAUCCUAGCGUUGUUCGGAAUCAUUGGGCGUAAAGCGGGUGUAGGCGGACUUAUAAGUCAGAUGUGAAAUCCCAGGGCUUAACCCUGGACGUGCAUUUGAUACUGCAAGUCUUGAGUGUGGUAGAGGUUACUGGAAUUCCUGGUGUAGUGGUGAAAUACGUAGAUAUCAGGAGGAAUACCGGAGGCGAAGGCGAGUAACUGGGCCAACACUGACGCUGAGAUCCGAAAGCGUGGGGAUCAAACAGG
rnacentral:rRNA from 1 species